rnacentral:rRNA from 1 species
AAGCUCAAAUUUGAAAUCUAGCACCUUCGGUGUUCGAGUUGUAAUUUGAAGAUGGUAACCUUGGGUUUGGCUCUUGUCUAUGUUCCUUGGAACAGGACGUCAUAGAGGGUGAGAAUCCCGUCUGAUGAGAUGCCCAUUCCUAUGUAAGGUGCUAUCGAAGAGUCGAGUUGUUUGGGAAUGCAGCUCUAAGUGGGUGGUAAAUUCCAUCUAAAGCUAAAUAUUGGCGAGAGACCGAUAGCGAACAAGUACAGUGAUGGAAAGAUGAAAAGAACUUUGAAAAGAGAGUGAAAAAGUACGUGAAAUUGUUGAAAGGGAAGGGCAUUAGAUCAGACUUGGUGUUUUACGAUUAUCUUCUCUUCUUGAGUUGUGCACUCGUAUUUCACUGGGCCAGCAUCGAUUCGGAUGGCAAGAUAAUGGCAGUUGAAUGUGGCUUCACUUCGGUGGAGUGUUAUAGCUUCUGCUGAUAUUGCCUGUCUGGAUCGAGGGCUGCGUCUUUUGACUAGGAUGCUGGCGUAAUGAUCUAAUGCCGCCC